AGAACGAACGCUGGCGGCAGGCUUAACACAUGCAAGUCGAACGCCCCGCAAGGGGAGUGGCAGACGGGUGAGUAACGCGUGGGAAUCUACCCAGUUCUACGGAACAACACAGGGAAACUUGUGCUAAUACCGCAUACGCCCCAAGGGGGAAAGAUUUAUCGGAAUUGGAUGAGCCCGCGUUGGAUUAGCUAGUUGGUGAGGUAAUGGCUCACCAAGGCGACGAUCCAUAGCUGGUCUGAGAGGAUGAUCAGCCACACUGGGACUGAGACACGGCCCAGACUCCUACGGGAGGCAGCAGUGGGGAAUAUUGGACAAUGGGCGCAAGCCUGAUCCAGCCAUGCCGCGUGAGUGAUGAAGGCCUUAGGGUUGUAAAGCUCUUUCAGUGGGGAAGAUAAUGACGGUACCCACAGAAGAAGCCCCGGCUAACUUCGUG
rnacentral:rRNA from 1 species